UAAAUGUAAAAAUGGCACUGAGCAUUAUUUGAGUCACCAUGGAUGUAGGACAAAUGCCAGCAUGUCCUUUCCGUGGACACCUAUGAGUAUGCAAGCAAGAGGGAAGGGUUGAGAUAUAAAGCAAAAACACUUCUUGGCAACGAUAUGAUAAUUCUCUAGGUGACUUGAUCUCCUUACCAUCCCUGAAUAUGGUUUUGGAAUAAGUCUGGUAGAGGUAGAGAGCCCAGUAGAUCCAGUGAAGGAGAAAAGAUCCUGGAGUAGCUGAUGAUUGCCUGUGAGGAGCCAAAAAAAAAAUACUUUGCAUUUAGAUCAGGAAGAGUUCCAUACAGUCAGCAAACUGUCAGAGCUGAUUGUGACCCACAUCAACAGCUACUUAUUGCACAUUAAAUUAAAGAAAACAAACAAAAAUCUAGGAAAGUGAGAUAAGAGCAUAAUAAUAUUCCAAAUGAAUAUGUAAUGGUGGUGAGGAAUAGGUAUUAGACCUGGUGGAAUGAGUACCUCAAGAAAUAUGGACAGAAGUUUGUGAUCUUAUCCAGGAGGUAGCAUCAAAAAUAUUCCAAAUAGAAAGAAGAUUAAGAAAGCAAAAUGACCAUCUGUGGAACAAAGGCGCCCGCAGGCAGGUGCAAGGGGGUGCACUUGCACCCGCCUGGAAUAUGCUGACUAGUUAAUCUUUUCAUUUAAAAUUUAAAAAAAAAGUUAUUUGGGCAUUCUUCUUUAAGAAGCCCUUCAAGUCCAGGCGCAGAUGCUGACAUCAUCGACAUCGCGCGGUGCACAGUUUGCGAGCAGGAACUGAAACGGACGGUUUCAGAUGGGUUUACUUUACCUGCGAGGAGGACUUCACUGAAGAUAACAGACGGAGUAAGUGAACUUCUUGAUGCUAACCUUUCCAGGCUAAGAGUAAAAAGAGAGAGAAAUUAGAGAGUGGCAGGGAGCUUGACAUAUGAGGUGACUGGCAGCUGGCUGAAAACAAUGUUAUAGUCAUCAGUUUGGUGAACUGCGGUUUAUCAGGUACCUGAUUGUCACUGCUAUAGUGAACUGCACAGCCUUGCCACCUCGCAUUUGUCAUUGUGACAGCUCAUCUAAAGAAUGAAAACUGAGGCAGUAUUUUAUCUUGCAUUAAACCAAAGCCUAAACUGUGCAGGAAUAAAAGUGGCAAGUACUGUUGUUUACGUCUCCCAAUUUUGAUGCAAACCUUUUUUUAAUGUAAAAAAUGUUUCAGAGUGUUUCCUAAUGUUGUCUUGAAUAUUUUCUCAGAUUAUGGCCCCAUCGGUAUUUCAUCUCAAAGUUUCUGCUCAUGGAAGCCUGGCGACCUUGUGACCUGUACAGUGCAAAAGGCCACAUUUGUAAACCUUGUAAGAUGUCAGAAAGAGACGUGCUAGUACUUACUGCAUUUUACACAGACACACAUUUUUGUUUCUUAGCUGAAAGUGUACUAGGCUCACUAUCAGUAACUGCAAUACAGGAGAAUCAGCACUAACCAACCAGUUAUCUCACCCACUAAAUUUGUAAGAAAUCAACAUAUAUCUGUUUGCUAUACCAGCCAGAAGGCACUACACACAAAAGCUGUACAUGGUAGGCUUUUUGAAGGUAACUCUUCACAUAUCAGUCUAAUAUUUUCAGGCAAACCCGCCUUGCUCCUUAUGACUGGAAAACAAGCCCUAAUCAUAGAGGGCAAACAAGGUGGAGUCACCAUUUUGAGUUGUGACAGGAUUCAAGGCACAAAGACUUCAUAUCUACUUCAAUAGUUUGUUUCCUUUAUUCUACUUGUAACGAUAUCAUGAACAGAAAUAUUUACAAAAAUCUCCUUUGUUAAUUAUUUCUUCUCUAGUGGUUACAUUUGGGUCAAUUAUAUUUUGACAGUUUCUUAGUGGCUUGCAGGAUUAACUGGGUGCUUUAACAUUUACAAUUUCUUUUUUACACUGGACAUUUAGAAUGAAAACAUCUUUCCAGCCUGUAUUAGUUUACUUUUUAUGGUUUUGACCUUGCUCUCUGUUUAAAUUCCACUUUAGUUCGAGAUAUUAAUAGUAACCAUAUGCAGUACAUCAAUGGACAUUUCACAUAGUGUGCUCUCAACACUACAUUGUAUUUAUUUUUUUAAUAAGCAGCAGCUAUGUGUAACGGACUCUCAAGGCAACUAGAAGGAUAGAUGUUUCUUCUAAGACAUUUUUCUCACAGUACAUUAAACUAAUAUAAACUACA